rnacentral:rRNA from 1 species
GAUGAACGCUGGCGGCGUGCCUAAUACAUGCAAGUCGAGCGAACGGACGAGAAGCUUGCUUCUCUGAUGUUAGCGGCGGACGGGCGAGUAACACGUGGAUAACCUACCUAUAAGACUUGGAUAACUUCGGGAAACCGUAGCUAAUACCGGAUAAUAUUUUGAACCGCAUGGUUCAAAAGUGAAAGACGGUCUUGCUGUCACUUAUAGAUGGAUUCGCGCUGCAUUAGCUAGUUGGUAAGGUAACGGCUUACCAAGGCAACGAUGCAUAGCCGACCUGAGAGGGUGAUCGGCCACACUGGAACUGAGACACGGUCCAGACUCCUACGGGAGGCAGCAGUAGGGAAUCUUCCGCAAUGGGCGAAAGCCUGACGGAGCAACGCCGCGUGAGUGAUGAAGGUCUUCGGAUCGUAAAACUCUGUUAUUAGGGAAGAACAUAUGUGUAAGUAACUGUGCACAUCUUGACGGUACCUAAUCAGAAAGCCACGGCUAACUACGUG